rnacentral:rRNA from 1 species
UCCUUCCGUUAGGGAACCUGCGGAAGGAUCAUUA